GGGGAAUAUUGCGCAAUGGGGGAAACCCUGACGCAGCAACGCCGCGUGAUUGAAGAAGGCCUUCGGGUUGUAAAGAUCUUUAAUUCGGGACGAAAAAAAUGACGGUACCGAAAGAAUAAGCUCCGGCUAACUACGUGCCAGCAGCCGCGGUAAUACGUAGGGAGCGAGCGUUGUCCGGAAUUACUGGGCGUAAAGGGCGCGUAGGCGGGUUUUUAAGUCAGGUGUGAAAACUCCAGGCUCAACUUGGAGAGUGCACUUGAAACUGGGGACCUUGAGGACAGGAGAGGAAAGUGGAAUUCCUAGUGUAGCGGUGAAAUGCGUAGAUAUUAGGAGGAACACCAGUGGCGAAGGCGACUUUCUGGACUGUACCUGACGCUGAGGCGCGAAAGCAUGGGGAGCGAACG
rnacentral:rRNA from 1 species